UCCCUUUGAAAAAAAAAACUUUUUAUUUUAAGCCUGUGCAGUCCAACUUGUCAGAUUUCAGUCUGAUUUAAAUUCUAUAAAAUCUGAUAAGCUUGAUUAUUCAAGCAUAAAGGGUGAGAUAAUCUAAACUAUCUAAAUUAUGUGGUAAGUUAUCAGUUUAAAAAAAUUGAUUAAAUUAAUUUUGUUGAAAAAAUUUCUCCACUUUUCUCUCUUUUCAUUUUUGCCAUCCCUCUCUGUUCUCUGUUUUCUUUUCUUUUUCUCUUCUCCUCCUCCAUUGUGCCGCCCCUUUGUUCAUUUUUUCUCUCCCAUUUGAUUUUAUUUUUCUGCUCAUUUUUUCUUCCCCCUAAAAGUCGAACCUUGCUAGUUUUACUGUUAUUGCCGCACAUCAGCAGCCCUUUUUAUCCUCCAUUGCCGCCAUCCAUUACACCACCACAUUUUUGCCAUUGUCACUUUAUUUUACUCUUCGUUUUUCCUGUCAUCGCGGAUCUGAGUAAGUGCAGAAUUUUUCGGUUAAUUUAAUCAAGUCUAUGUAGUUUUUAUUUUAUUCGAUAUUCUGAUAUGACCGAAUCUGAUGUAUUAUCAUUUUCUUGGUGUUUAAAUGUUCAAGAUCUAGAUCCAAAUCGUAUGGAUCAACUAUAGCGUUGGGCAGUUGUUUGCAAGCCGUUAUAAGUCAAUUAAGGUAAGUGUUGAAUCUCCACUUCGGAUCUGAAGUUUCAAUUAAAGGUUUGCGGCUUGGUCGAACCCUAUAAGGGCUUUAGGGGGGAUGAUUUUUUAUAAAUAUUUUCAGUUGUGUUCAGAUUUAAGCAAGUUCUAGUGUCACGGGGCUAGACCGUUUGCGAGACGAAAGGUCUAGCCCCGUGACACUAGUCAGAUCUAAGUCCUAAGAGCUGCGGAUUUAAGUAGUACUUUGGGUCUACGCUUAUUAGGUGUGGGUCUUACCAUUGGGUGUUUAAUUGAUUAUUAAAAAUAAUAUUUUGUGCAUGUUAAACCAAUAUACAUGCUGAUUGGUACAUGGCCGAAUGGUCAUGAGUGAGUUUAACAGUUACCGAUUGAGGUAUGUACUAAAAGGGUAGUGGUCGAUUAUUAAAGGGCUUUAAUUUAGAUUAAUGGUCUAUUUGUUUGCCAGUAAAAUGUUUUCUAGAAAAUAAUAUUAAAGAGCUUUAAUUGAGAUUAAGGGUCCGAUUGUUUGCCAGUAAAAUAUUUUCCGGAAAAUAAUUUAUGGAAAAUGAUUUACUUUUCUGGAAAAUGAUUUACUGAAAAUAUUUUCUGGUGUUUGGAUGAAUUUAUGUAAAAUAUUUUCUUUUAUUUGGCAGAUUUCCUGAAAAUAUUUUCCUGGAAAGCUAUUUUUAUAUAUAUUAAUAAAUUUAUAUAUAUUAAUAAUUUAUAUUUUAAUUUGUUUUUACAUAUAUUGCAAUGAUUUAUUUAUAAAUAAAUCAAAUUAAAUAUAUAAUAAUACUCAAUUAUUAAACUAAAAUAUUAACGGUCAUAAAUUGAAAAUAACCAAAGUCAAAAUUUAAUCAAUACAGUACACAUUGAACGAAGAACCAGACACAAGUUGAACUAAAAUCUCCAAGGAACAAGAUAAAAUCCACGUAAGAUAUACACACAGAGCGAGGAGACUCGUAUGUUAUAAUUGCACUUGAACAUUUUAGAGUUGAUGGGGCACCAACUGGUCGGGGAUUGACAAAUUGACGGGCAUUUUCUGUUGCAUUAAGUAAAGGAAGCAUUCCAGUUGUAAUGCCCUUUAUGCAUGAUUUAAUUAAAUAAUCAUUAAAAAAUUCAGAAUCUCAGAAUCCGAGCAAACAGGGAUGCCGACGAUUGGAGGAAACAAAAAGGGGAAAGUGAAAUGGGUAUUCUUUUUGGAAGAAACAUGAGUUAUAAUGCACUAUCCAACAAAAUCAAUUUCAGUGUCUAAAAGACUGCACUUAGCAACUAACAACAGUAAUGCUAAAAUGGGAGAAAAGGGAAUGUCAGCAAGUUGUCUAUAGUCUCUAUAAUUAUUUAGAAAUACAUUAAAAGGUGGUAGAACUGGUGGAUUAUGCAGUUUCCUUAAGUCUGUUUCCAACCUAGCAAUAUAUUUGUCAUAUAAAAUCCCUGCUUUCUCAAGGUCUCCUAGCUCGGUGUAGUAGUCAGCAAUUGCUCCAUAAGCUUCUGUAUUUCCAGAGUCUUCUCCUUCUCGAUCAGAUAUUACUAAGACCAUUGAGUGGUAUUUAAUGGCUUCUUGAUAUUUGCCUUGCCUUUUCAAUGAGGUACCUGAAAUCAAUCAAACUUAACUGUUAAAGUUUCUGCUACCCUUCAUGGAAAGGGAUCCCAGCUGUAAGAAAAAAAGUUUUUUGCAUCACUCCCCAGAAAGAAACACAUAAAUUAAUUAGCUGGUACAAGUUUUAAGGGCUUUAUGAUUCAUCGCUUUAUGCUUUAGCACUGCCACUUGGUACAAAAAAGCGACAUGGGAUUUCCUUUGAUACCAAAUAUAAUAUUCAUAAUGAAGUCACUUCUCUGAGUAUCUAAUAGAUUGAUGCACACAGAUCCAAGGGAAUUCCAUAAGGUAUCAUAAUCCUUAUCUCUCUUUGGCCACUUGGAUUGGCUCAAACCAUAAGCAUUUUACUAUACUAAAUUAGGAAUAGAGACUAGACAGGCAAAUAAAUGGAGAAGAUACAGACCUAAACCCCUGGCAGCUUUCUUCUCCUCGAUAGGAUCUUUUAGACUCUUAGCAAGCUCCAGUGCUGUCUUAAACUCUAGAAAAGCCUUUUCAAGUUCUUGAUUUCUUAAAAAGUUCUUCCUGUUCUCAACUCUUCCUUUCUUGGAUUGACAAUUACUUCAUUUUCUGAUAUUCUACCACCGAUGGGAACAUAACUCAGGCUGGGAGCAUAUGACUCUAUCUUAGCCUGCCUUCUUAGAGCAACAUUGAUUUGGCGCAGCUGCUCCUUCACUCGCUGCAGCUCCUCUUUCCUCUGCCGUGCAAGCAAUCCUAAUGUGCAAAUUGUGGAUGAUCAAAAACAAAAAAAAAAAUCCAACAUAAUGUAAAAUAAGGCUUUGAAAGUUCAUUUUCAUUAGUUAUAUAGACUGCUCAGAAUAGAUUCAUGUGUUUAAAAGUGGAAAUUGUGUAGUUAGAUGUUUCAG
rnacentral:lncRNA from 1 species